CCUACGGGAGGCAGCAGUGAGGAAUAUUGGUCAAUGGGCGAGAGCCUGAACCAGCCAAGUCGCGUGAGGGACGACGGUCCUAUGGAUUGUAAACCUCUUUUGUCGGGGAACAAAGGCGCCCACGGGUGGGCGGAUGAGUGUACCCGACGAAAAAGCAUCGGCUAACGCCGUGCCAGCAACCGCGGUACUACGGAGGAUGCAAGCGUUAUCCGGAUUUAUUUGGGUUAAAGAGUGCGUAGGAGGACAGUAAAGUCAGCGGUAAAAAUGCGGUGCGGAACGCCGUACAGCCGUUGAAACGGGCAGUCUUGAGUGGGCGAGAGGGAUGAGGAAUGCGGGGUGUAGCGGUGAAAUGCAUAGAUAUCACGAAGAAAUCCGAUUGCGAAGGCAGCAUACCGGCGCACGACUGACGCUGAGGCACGAAAGCGUGGGUAUCGAACAGGAUUAGAUACCCGGGUAGUC
rnacentral:rRNA from 1 species